GUGCGCUGAUACAAAAAAAAACAUCCUUCCCAGCCUUGUCGUCACCAACCACCCAACACCAUUUGCCAGGCCCGCGGUGGCUUUGUUAGGCUUCCCCAUAGAUGGUGUAGAGGUGGAACAAGACUGGUACACAUUGAAAUCAACCCACAUUAAAGAAAACCUUGGAGUUGAAGAUGUUUUAUGUAAACUAGACAAAAACACUCGUCAUAAGAUGCUCCGUUUUGGAUUUAGUUCAGGACCUUCAUAGGCAAGACGUUUGAUAUAAGAAGAAUUACCUACUACAGUGCAAUCUGUUCUGCAAACAAUGCAAUUGCAAAACACAGUCAUAUUUAGAACAAUUAUUGUACCAAACCAACUGUUAUAAGCUAUGACUGGUUUGAUUUUUGCAUAUCAAAUAUAAAUAAACUGUUUACACUCAAAACAGCAGGGCAGUUAUUAUUAUUUGGAGGCUUGUAUUGCUCACAAAAUGCAUUUGUGCCCAAAUUGGUAUGCGAAGGAGUUUUUUUGGCACGCAAUCUUUCGUGAUUUUUUUAAACUUAAGACACUGCUGUUGCUGUCAUCAGAACCUGCCUCAUCUUAGUAUAUUGAGAAAUUAUUGGAUUUCUCGGUAAAGAAAUUGGUAACAUGUUACACUGUUUACGUUUCACACCAGUAAAACAUUGAGGUAUGUGGUCUUCUCUGUAAGUUGACCCAUUCAGGGUAGCAUAUUUUAUGUGUAGGAUAAGUUAAGUUGUGUAAUGUCUGUGUAAAGUGAAUGCACUUGUACAAAAGGACAUUUUAUGGAAUAGAAUGAUGGUGCUACUGCAUUGUUGCAUUUAUUGCUAAAGGUGUUAUAGAGAUGCUAAAUAAUGGUUAAUAAUGGUUAUUUAUAGGAAUAUAAAUAACCAUUAUUUAGCAUCUCUCUUGUCCAUUGUGUCCUUCAACAUUUGGAUUAUAAUCAACAUUACAUUGCCUGACAUACACACUUAAAAUGUUUUGUUCAGCAUUUCGCAAAACACCUGUUUUAAAUUCUGGGAAAGCAAGCCUUAUUUUGACUUGUACUUAGAAAAUUUCGAAACGUCUGUCAGAGUUUAGAUUUUUCAUGUGCUACAGCACGCCCCUUGUGCAUUAAAAAUGAGGAAUGUCUUUUUUCAAAAAUGUUUUAUUGGUAUUGAAUAACCACCUUACUGUGGUUUAUAUAAAAAAACGCAUUUCAAUUGGUGGUUGAAGUUCAAAGUGGACUGUGGCCCUCAAAGGAAUAGCGCCACCCCCGUGAUCACCCCCAUGAUAUGUGGAUCAAAGAAACUACUCUCGACGCUGGUAUGGCAGCAAGAAAAGUUUAUGCGAAUGCUGUGUGCAAGAGGUCACACAUUUGGCCCAACGGUCUUGCGCUGAUGAUGCAUGAUGAAUGAACGUGAUUUAUAAAAGUAAAAAACAUUGCAUUGUUUUGAAACGUGUUGAUAUGAGUCGCGUGAUAAACACAAUUUUGUAAGAUAAAAUGUAAUGUCUGCAGUGUUUACGGCCUUUAAAUGAAUUACCUGUGUUAUAGACUAUGUACGGUGUAACAAAAUCUAGAAUGUAUAAUGCAUAUUUAUGACUUAAAGCUCAAAGUAGCUUUGGCUUAGACCAACAGUGUAAGUAAUGAUUAAUUAUAGCUGCUGUGAUUUGGAAGGUACUGGAAAAUUAUAUUGGGGAUGUUUGUGACGUCUCAGAAAUAUUAAGUCGGCCAGUGUUAUAUUGUCAUCAUUCUCUUUGGUUCUUUCGCUUAAGUCGCAUAGAUAGAAAAUUAAUAGAUCACGACGUUUCGAUCGCAACACAAGCAAUCGUCAUCAGGUGAGGCAGUUAUGCUGUUUGGAAAGCUUCAUAUCAAGAUUGUCAUUAUUGCAUGCGAAAUGGUCUUCCCAUGCCAUCUCAUUUUCUUGUACAUAAGGAACAUAAAAAUGUGCAUAUGUACGUGAACAUUUAAAAAGUCCGACUGCUUGCACUCUUGUUUUCUGUUAUAUUUUUUGUACACAUUUCCAGUCGCUUUAUUUUGCAGUAUUGUGAUUCAUGCUAUUUUUGGCUACUUGUAACAACUCGGCCAAGUUGUUCUAUGACUUGUUAAUUGAAUACAAUUACAAACAUUAGAUAUAAUUAAUUUAUAAUUAAUUGCAAUGCUUUGUCAAGCCACUGCUGGACGAUGGGCUCUCCAUCUCGUGUCGGUUGUUUUGGUCAUACUUCACAGGUCGGUCCAGGUUGGUGACAUGGUAGCUGUGGCUGAGAAGUUAAAUCCAGUUGCUGGGUCAGUUGUGGAAUGUGCUGACCACAGUGCCAUGAUUACUCUCAACAAUAAUGCACUGAUGCAUUUGGUAACUGCUUUGGUCCAGGAAUAGAUUUGGGCCACUUUUAUUCCCAUAGAGCACGGUCAUCUUUUAGCACAGUAGGUGAUAUCAAGACAUGUAUUUUAAACCAAUGUAAGCCAACUCAUUUGUACAACAGCACAAGUUAUACAUGACACGAACUUUUUUUAAAUGUCUGCCUUAAUAUUAACUUGUGUACAUUUAAUUUCACAAAUGUACACAUCCCUGGUCUCCAUCUCGAUACGAUUGUGUUGAGCUGAUGUAUUCAAUGGCUAUCAACUUGGCAGAUUGAUACUGCACCUCAACUGAACUUUUUUUUACAACUGAAGGGCAUUUGGUGGAGUUGAUCCUUCAUGAGCUAUGAUAAUCAGCUUGAGCGUUAAGCUCCGUAGCAAAGUAGAUACAUGUGUCUCUUUGAUAUUGUAGGAGUGGAUAAAACGUAAGCUUUUUUUGGAGGUGGUUCCACCUCAAAUAUUUAUCCGCAAAAUAUAGUCUGCGUUUGUAUUUUGUUUGUAAUUGUCCAUUAUUAAAAUAUUCGUCUGCAUAAUCCAUAAAGAUGGAACAUUUCAUUUGUAAGCAUGUCAAGUGAUGACUGCUUGCAUGAAUAUUGAGAUUUUGAUGUAUAUGGAUUUAGUAGCAAAUACAAAUCAUGGGAAUGUUAAAGAAAACCAAUUUAUGCACGUGUUAUCUUGAAAUGUUUGCUUUUUCAGAGUUAUUUUACAGAGCUCUGAACUUGACUGGAUUAUAAACGUGUGUUUUACGUAAGAACCUAUGUGGUGGUACGGUACUAAGGGAUAUUCAUGGAGAUGAAUGGUCCAUCUGGUUUCCCAACAGCUUGCUGCUCCUGGUUGGUUAAUUCUGCUAAACCUAAAGUGAUGAAGUGUGUUGGUGUAUAUAUGUUUCCCUCACGAUACAUUGGGCGACUAGCACUUGUUUGACUUAAAUGAAAAGUAAACUAAUUACAUUGCAGGGGAAAACAUUUGGAAUGGCUUUUUGUUUUGUAAGCUAUAUAUAUGAUAUGUUUGGUUUAGUGUUUUGUACGAUAGUAUUACUGUGUUUGAAAACAAGUUAGAGCUUCUUAAAAUUGAGCUAGCUCAUGUUGUAUAAGACUUCUGAUCAUCUGCUCUCCAUGGUUAAAUUGUAUUGCGUGCUGAGAAAAUAAAACUUCUAACUUCACUGUAUCAAAAGUAGUGGCAUAAAGGAUAAUGUAUUUCGUUUAUACUUGUCAAUUUCAGCUACGUACUAGUAAUAUCUGUACCUCGUGAGCUCUGUACUGUUAACCAUGAAUGUAGAGGGUUUUUUUAAGUCUUGCCUUACUGGCUGCAACAUGCAGUGACUGCAAAUGUCAUGUUUGUCAUCGUGGCAUUGAAUUGUCAAUAAAGCCUCCAAUAAGCCCCAUGAA